CUGAAACUUUCUGGGGACACCAGAGACUUUUAAUUAUCAGUCAACUUUGUUUCUCCUAAAAUUCUUUAAAAAAAAAUGCAAAUAGACACAAAGGAUUUUUCAUUGCAGACAAAUCUGAACACAGUUUGAGACAUCUUUGAGAUCUCUAGAGGAGUAAUGUGAGAUUUUUUCCUCAGGAGGAACAUCUGAGAAACAGGAAACUCAAUGUACAUUUAAUCUCAUUGCUGUCUAGGAGAAAUGGUUGAGAUAUUAAAGAGAUCUUGUUUGUGCUUAUUAUUUCCUCUGUGUCAUCCUGCGCUCUCAAAAGGAUAUUUUAUUGCUCAUCGGUUGGUCUUUCAUAGCUCAAAAAUCUUAAGUUUAAUAAAAGUAUUAACUUUAUCUCAGAUAUUUCUCAAAGUUGUGUGGAAAAAUAAAGGUAGCAGACUUUGGUGUCUUGUCAAAUCUAAACACAGACAUUGUUGAGAUCUCUAGAGGAGUAACAUGUGAGUUUUCUGUCUUUUUCCCCAGGAGAAACAUCAGAGAAGACCUAAAAUUCUCCAUUAAUCUCUUUACCGUCUGAAAGUAAAGAGAUCUCAUUCGUGUUUCUUUCUGCCAAAGAGUCGAGCUCUCCGUAAAAGCCGCCUCGAGCUCAACUUAACGCGAGUAUUACAUAAGCACGACCCCGAUGCUCCUUCAGCCAAAAGGAGCGCUACCUCCGUCACAGCGUCGAGAGGAAAUAGAAAGGGAGUGUUGGUACAGACACAGGCCUGUCUGCAGAUGGACUUAGUGGGAGCGAGUUGGCCGGACAGUAUGAGGAGAGCAGGAACAGCCAAUGGGAGGAGGACGGCACAGGAGGAGACGGGGAGAGCGUCCAAACCUGCAGCCUAAUCCACCUCCGUGUUCUCAGGGCAGCGAGUGAGCAGCACAAAUCAGACGGCCAUUACAACUGUGACAAUCUGUUUCACUUACUCCACCGAGAGCUGAAUGCCGUUCAUUUUGCUCCUGUUCUAAUUCACUACAGGAUUUUCAUCUACUACAAAACAUGAAACAUUCCUCAUUAAAAUUGUCAUGAUGAGAAGACAUAUUCAUUUUCAUUUUUGUUCAUCAAACUCAAGAUUUACUAAAGUCCCAAAUGCAGUAUAAGUGUGUGCAGUCAUCCAUACGGAAAUAUCCAUAUCAGACCUACUUUUCAGAUUAAUGGUCUACAAAGCCGAGGUGAAAACAGCAGAGAAGCUCCACUGCUUAGUGAGCGUCACAGAUGAAAGAAAUCUUCUGGGUUCAACACAAGUUACAAGUUUAAAAAAGCAAAAAUCACGGUUACAGUAAGGCAUAGAGCCAGUGUUCCCGAGGGUUUUAUAAAAGCAGAAUUGUGAAGCUUGUGUUUUUGUUAAAGCACUUGCAUUAAUUAUUCAGUAAAAACUGUUUUUACUUUGA